rnacentral:rRNA from 1 species
CCUACGGGAGGCAGCAGUGAGGAAUAUUGGUCAAUGGACGAGAGUCUGACCCAGCCAAGUAGCGUGAAGGAUGACUGCCCUCUGGGCUGUAAACUUCUUUUAUAUGGGAAUAAAAUGUUCCACGUGUGGGACUUUGUAUGUACCAUAUGUAUAAGGAUCGGCUAACCUCGCUCCAGCAGCCGCGGUAAUAUGGAGGAUCCGAGCGUUAUCCGGAUUUAUUGGGUUUAAAGGGAGCGUAGGUGGAUUGUUAAGUCAGUUGUGAAAGUUUGUGGCUCAACCGGAAAAUUGCAGUUGAAUCUGGCAAUCUUGAGUGCGGGAGAGGAGAGCGGAAUUCGAGGUGUAGCGGUGAAAUGCGUAGAUAUCACGAAGAACUCCGAUUGCGAAGGCAGCUCACUGGACUGCAACUGACGCUGAGGCUCGAAAGUGUGGGUAUCAAACAGGAUUAGAUACCCGGGUAGUC